AUGCUGGUGAGUUUCUUUUAUGUGUGUUAAUUUCUGAUGAUUGAAUGAUGGUUAUUUCCUUUUCUGUAUAUUUCUAUGCAUGUGCACAACUGUACAUGUGCAUGCAUAUGUUUGUGUGAAAUUUUGUGGAUUUAUGCAAAAUAAGUGACUUGUUUACUGAAUUGCUUGAAGGUUGGCAAGGAUGUUAUGUCUUGUAACACUGAAAUGUUUCAGUUGGAGUUUUUUAAUGUCUCAUUAACCUUGGUUUUUUUUUGAGUUUGCUUAAUAGCAAUUCUUUUACUUAUGGGUAUUUACGAUGCGG
rnacentral:misc_RNA from 1 species